UGGGUGAGGUCGCCUUGUCUGGAAUGAAUCAAGGGGGAUGGGACGGCCGUGGCUCGCAGACACCCCCAUCCGCCUCUGGCGCGCCAAUCCCGGCCCAGAUGGGAACGUGGACUGUGGCGGAGCGAGGGCGGGGCUCCGUGGCAGCGUUUGACAGCUGCAAAAAUAGAAAAUGUAUCACGCUCAGAAGAUGAGGGGAAGCAUGCUGCUCCCAGCACACUCUUGGAGAAUGGAACCAGCUCCAUCGUCGGCGUAAAGAAACUCUUUUUCGGGGUGUCAUUUAUUUAUUCUUACUGUCGUCUCGAAGCAAUUUGGACUAUGCACCGCGCCUUCUCCUUCCCGGUGACGGUGGAGCGGAGCCGGACUAAGGAGCGCCUGGAGGCCAGUCUGGCCGGCUUGUGCGAGCUGGAGCUCCGCAAGCAGCGUCAGGAGGGGCUAGUGCUCGGGGCUCUGGCGCUGGGCGACCCCCGGCCCCCACAGGAGCCCCCCACUUCAGGGGACGUGUCCUGGUUCAGCUGCUGGGGCCAGGAUAACCUGACACUGAGGCGCCAGCUGAGUGCUCUACAGAGUUCGCCGUGGGGUCUCAUGCAAGCACUGGAGCAAAAGGUGGGAGAGCUACGCAUCGACACCGACCACCACGAUGCCGCUCAAGGAGACACAGGUGACAGUCGACCGAGUUCAGGUACCUGUAAUCAAGGGGAAGGACUCCAGGAGCCUUGUUUCUAUGAGUCAAGUGAAGGUCAGUCGCCUAAAGGGAGAACUUGUUCCACGGAGCCCGCAGAAAUGGUCUCUUCCUGGCCUUACACCAACGAAAGGCCCAAGUCUGUGGGAGAUCCCCUCAUGUUGAAUGGGGAAUCAGACAUGACAGUUCCUCCAAGUGGCUUGCCUCGCUCAUUUUCCGCACCACAUCCACCCCUGGAGGGCAUCGCUGAGGAAAGGACACCAGUGGACUCGUGGAUGCUAGCGCCCAGCCGAGAUGAGCAGCCCUGGCAGCAGCCACCUCCGGCGGAUCAGGUGACAGAGGAGGACUACCAACAAGCCAUGAGGGUGGAGGGUUACAUACUUCAUCUUGUCCAGCGUCACACCCUUUCGCCACGGCCAUGUCAGCCUCGCACUACUCUAAGCCCUGAUCCGCCAUAUAGCUUUACGCCUGCACAUGCCCCCGUACACAGGAAAAGCCCCUCUCUUUCUACAGAGCAAGGACAUCCAGGCCCUCAAGUUGAACUUUUGUCCACCCCAAAGAGCCCGAGUCGGGGUUGUGACCUUCCAGAGGGUGAGCCCUGCGGAGGAGCGGCCCCAUCUUUGGAAGAGGAGCGUUAUUUGAUGUUGCCCUACCCCCAAUGUAAGCCACACUCCCUGACUGGGAGGCUACCAUCACCUCUGCCUUCCUUGGACCCGAACUGUGGUGCUGGGGCGCUUAACCUUUGUUGUGAACCCUCAACCCCCCAACAUUGUCUGCAGUCCCCAAUCAAUCACAAGCACAAUUUAGUAAGUGCUCAAUACAUCCCAGGACAGGCCUGCCACGCCCCCUUACGCUCACCGAGACACUUCAACCCAGCGCAGUCCAAAGCCCACCAGGCAUCCCCUGAGCAGCACAACGCCAAGCCCAGAAACUCAAGGAAGGGCCAAAAUGAAAAACAGAGGUCUAAAAAGUCGAGCGGUAAAACCGGCCGAUCCCAGUCAGAAAACAGCCUCCUUGGCCAGCGGGUGAUGCCCGAGCGCAGGUACAGCACCACCGAGAGGCAUCAAGGUAGAGGGGAUCAGGCUCAAGGUCAAGUUGCUAAGAUUCAUGUAGCAAACAACAGCGACAAAGCAAACCGACGUUGGUGUUCCAACCUGGAGCUCAGUCAAGACGAAGGGGAAAACCAGGUGGAGCAAGGACAUCGGAGGCCACCUCGAAAAGCUCGCCAUGUUCAUGGUGGUCACCACCAGCAGCAGCAUCAUCAUCUUCAUCAUCAUCAUCAACAUCAGCAACAUCAUCACCCGCUGCAGCAUCAGCAGCAUGCGCAGCGCUGGCACUCUGAUUUCCAGCAGCGCGCACCACUUUGCCAAGGGGAGGACGCGUAUGAGGGAGCUGCCCCGGCUGAGUCCUCAUCCAGCAUGAGCGAGGUGUACUCGCCGGCCUCCAGCUCGCUCUCCAGCGACUCCGAUGAGAGCGGGGGAUUGGUGUGGCCCCAGCAGCUGCCACCUCGCCUCGCUAACACAUCCUCCUCGUCCUCACCCUCAGCGCAGGCUGCCGCCGCCAAUCCGCCCGCCCAGCCAAAGGCCUUCGUCAAGAUUAAAGCCUCCCACGCUCUCAAAAAGAAGAUCCUCAGAUUCCGCUCAGGAUCCCUCAAAGUCAUGACCACCGUGUGAAUUGGUUUCAAAACCAAAGCAUCAACUGUCAGUGGCAGCUUCUCUCGGCUCUGCGCUGUACUCUAAUUACAGGCUGGCAUGUCAUGGUUGUUUCCUACAAGGAUCCACAUCAAAACUGAUGGUCUCCAUCUUCCCUUAAAUGACGUUAACUGACGUGAUGCCAAAUUGCAACUGUUGACAAGGUUUGCAUUGUUGCUAUGGAGCUGAUGUCCAAAGGAAUUAUUAUUAAUGACUCUUCCAUUCAUGCUUUAUAAAUUCCCCCUGUGUAAGGUAGCCUGGGAAACUACAAUUUAAAUGCUGUGCAAACGGCUUUGGCCAUCAUUAGCUUCUUCGUUUUACUAAAUCGCAGGAUUACGCAAACUACAAACAACAAUUUCCUCAAAAUGUCAUUGGCGGGGAGUACAUGGACUCAGGCACAAGCCAGAAGACUUUGGUAAAGAUGUGGAUAAAGGUGCCGAAUCAGGAAUUCAUUUUCAGUGUUUGCGUCAGGUGAUAAGGGUGGUCCCUUUUCAUCUAUCGCUCCAAAAAAAAAAAAUGAUGUUAGACUGUUUUAAGGUACUGUCAUGCUUCUACUCAGAUUUUUCAAUAAAUUCUCAUGUGAACAUGUACAUCUAGCUGCACUAUGUCUAUGAUGACUGGCUCCAUUUGUUGUCAGCUGGCGUUGGCAUCAGUUUGUCAUCAUGAGAGAAGUCCCUUAAAAGGCAAGAUUCCAGUGACAGAAACCGGGAAACACACAAGGUAACACACUUGUAAAUAUGUAACUAAGUGUAUAUCCAUGUUGUGGCCUUGUUCAGAAUGAAUGUAAUUUUUAAAUAAAAUCUAAAUGUUCUGGUCUUCGG